ACAUAAAUUACAUUAAAUAGAAAAAAAAACAAGCAGGAAUGUAGUGGUAGUAAUACUAGACGUAAUUAUUGGCAAAUUUAAGUACUUUAAGCAAACAAGCAAUGAAAACCUCUUUGGGACAUUUUUGGUUACAUACCAUAUUUUUGGUUUCGCCUGCGGUACAUCCAGUCAGAAUUGCAAGUGAGAAAGCAAAAUGGCCGCCACCCCCUCCACCUCCAUUGGGCAUUGUCAACAGGAAGGGAGGGCCAGGUGGCGGGCCGUAUCUCUUUGGACUAGAAGCUUUACAUACAGAAAUAGAGAAAAUGAAGAGAGGCAGUAGAGUUCCCCUCCCCUUGAUGAACAAGCUAACGUGCGUCGUCCAAGCUACACGAUCCAUCUCCAACAUGAAUCAUCUCACCCUCCCUCCACCUAUCAUCACGCUUUGGUACAAGUGCUGGACGCUGAAGAUUGGGCACCGGGACUGGCUCCGUCGUCUGUCCAUUUGUCCAGGCUCCGGCGGCGGGCGUUCAUGAAGAAGUUGCUGACGGUGGUGAGUUCGAGGCCCAGCUGCUGUGAGAUGGUGAGCUGCAUCUCCUUGGAAGGCCUCUUGUUUUCCUUGAAGAUGGCCAGCAAGGUGCGACGUUGUAGGUCGGUGAAGACCAACCGAGAUUUCUUUGGUGUGUUGUUCCGCUCCUUCGCUGUAUCCUGCUCCUUCCGUUUGCACGCUAUGGACCAUGGGAAAGAGGAGAUAAUAAAUAAAUUCAGUUAGAUGGAAAGCUAUUACUAGUUAAACAUGACUUAAUAGUUAAACAUCACUAAAUAUCACAACACAUCAGAUACCUCAAAGAAUCGUCCAAAUAUGCCAUAUAUUUAUGCUUCAUACAAGACUCUAUGGCACUUGUUAAUACAUCACAGUAAAUAAAUAAUGCUAUUUGCUACAUAUAUACAUGGCCUUGGAUAGCAUGUCAAUGAAACCCUAUGUAUAGUCACAAGAAGUAAACGAUUCUAUUAACCUUUAUGUAGGCCCUAAACAAUAAAUAUAACAACACCUUUCUCUAUAAGGUGUCUGCAGUUGUAUCUUAGCCAAUUCAGGAGCAGGAGGUGGAGGGGGAUUUGAUUUGAUUAGCUCUUUGAAUUAAGUAUGCACUAGUCACAAGCCAACCAAUCAAUACAAAUGAUGUUAAGGCCUCAAAUCAGUGACAAAACUAUUAUGUAAGAGGAAGCUCUCCCUGCGACAUCCUUCUUCUUGCCUCUUUUCAGCUUUUUGUCACACUCCUAAACCUAAAGUCUAGUUUUGGAACAUAGAGUGUGUGGCUGUUAUCUGAUGAUAAUAUUAGAGUCACAUCUAUACUUAACACAACAACUGUACUACUACUAAAAAUGCGAUAAUACUGUUUACUAUGUAUUGUUAUUACUAAUACUGUAUAUAUUACUGUAAAAAAAUGUCUGCCUGAUGUUGACAUAGUCUCAGUUGACAAAUUAACAAUGAUCAUUUGAAAGCAGCUCAGCAGCAGACAAUGUUUUGAAAAAAGUGCAGACACAUUUACGUGUAAAAAGAGUGGCAUCACAAUCACUCAGCGACACACACAAACACAGACUGAGCACGCUUGAGUGAUUCAAUCAUGCUUUUUUUUCACCCCCGUGUCGGAGUUACAGUGAGGAUCAAAUGUGCAAUUGUAUUAUUCAAAAGGAAUUUACCUGUCUGCGAACACAAGGG